CAUUCCCUGGAGAGGGAGAGAGGAAUACUCAUUACCUCUACCCACUAACAGGGAAACAAGGGUAUCCCAUCCCAGCUCCAACUUGGGAGAACCCUAAUCCUAGCAGUUCUGAAGACCUAGUGCUCAAAUACCUAUAUUGCAACCUCAGCCUUACCAGUGGACAGAGGUGCUGAGUUCAAUUCUGGCCUCUGGAAGAGGCCAGAAGAGGAUGUUGGAUUGCUACAACUGGAGUCAUGUCAUUGUCAACUGCCAUAUGGGUGUUGCGACCCAAACCCAGGUUCUUCCUAAGAGCAGCAAGUACUCUUAAACCACUAAGACAUCUCUCCAAUACUAUGUAUGUGCAAGUGAAUGCAGGUGCCUGUAGAGGCCAAAAGGUGUUGGAUCCACUGGAACUGGAGUUCUAUGCAGUUUCGAUCUGAUAUGGGUGCUAGGAAUCACACUGUCCUGUCCUGUGUAAAAGGAAUACUCUCUCUCCAGCACCUCUGUUGUUAAAAGACAGGGUCUCACUCCUAGCUGCCUUGUAACUUGAGGCAAUCCUUCUGCCUCAGCCUCCUGAGAACUAGGAUUACAGUUGUGAGUCUGCACAUACAGCUUUCCCUCAAGUGUAUUUUUCCUUUACUUGAAGAAUAACUGAAUCAUGAGGCCCAAGAAUCUAGUGUACUUUUUUUGUAUCUAUUAGGAACUCAUUAAUAUUCACUGUACUUGUUGAAUGAGAACAUUAAUUCCCUGUGCUAUUACAGUGAUGUAGGUCUAUCAUCUGACAAAAUGUUUCUUUGACCUCUGUCUUUAUAUUCUCUCUCUCUCUCUCAACCUUGCUCUUCCUGAUGGCAUACCCUGCUCAAAACCUUUCAAAAGCUCUCUACUUCAUUCAAGAUAAAGUUCGAAUGUCACAUCCUGGUAUUUAAGGUCACACACCUUAUUCUACUGAACUUUUCUCAUUGAGAUAUGGCAUAGCAGGUAUGAGGUCAGAGGACAAUCUGCAGGAGUCAAUUUUCCUGGUGGGGUCCCAGAAGUGGACUUUAGGCUGCUGGGGCUGACAGCAGUGUGUUUUCACCCCACUCUGUGCUGCCUCCGUUUACUCCCUUCUCACCAGUGCUGGCCCACUAACUCCAGGAAGUCCUCCCUGACUGCUUCCUAGCUCACCCUGAGACUUCCCUCUGAAAUAGCUGCGCGACAGUCCUUUUUCUUGGCACCUCUAAAAGUUCUUACUAGAG